UCCCUGGUGGCUUAGAGGUUAAAGCGUCUGCCUGCAAUACGGGAGACCUGAGUUCAAUCUCUGGGUCAGGAAG
rfam:Ovis aries breed Texel chromosome 7, whole genome shotgun sequence.